rnacentral:lncRNA from 1 species
ACCCUCAGUUUCUCUGUCAAUUGUAGAAAAGAGAGAAUCCAAUCGAUGACUACAGCACCGAGUCUUCCUCUUCUAUCGGUGACUACAAAGCCGAGUCUACAUCUUCUUGCGAUUCGCCGUGUUUCUUCAUCUUGCUGCAAUUUGUACACCCUAAAAUAGAGAGGUACGUCAAUUCCAGAUUUGCUUCAGUUUAGGGUUUUUUCUUCUCUCAAAAUAAUUGUAGUACCUGUCGAUUUCUCAUUAUUUUGGUUUCAAUUCUUGGAUAUUUUCAACUAAAUAUUCUUUUCCUUCUUCCUGUGUGUACAAUUCUAUUUUUUAGUUGGUGGAAUCUCCCAAAAACCAGAAAAUUCGCACCGAAAUAGGAAACUGGCGACCUGAGGUGUGUGGAUUUAGUAUUUGCUUCAGUUUAGUGUUAUUUCUUGCUUCAUUUUUAACUUUUUCCUUUUUUGAAAUAUUCGUGUGGCCUCGUGUUCACACUACAAAUGAUUCAAACUGGUUAUGCAUUUUUCAUUCUAGAAAGUCUCCUUUCCACACUCACUGUUGAAUUUCAUCUCACACACGCUAGACUUUUGCUUUUGAGUCUCUCCCAAUUCUUUGAUAUCUUAGUUUGCUCUCCAUUUCCUAAGACUUUUACCUUUCCCAAUUUUUUUUCACAUCUUGCCUCCUCAGUUAUCAUUGAUGCCAAUGUAAACUGUAAAUAUGUUCUUUUUCAGCAAUUGCAUCCAUUAAUAUUAUCCUAACUUUGAACUGAAAUUUUCGUUUCUUCUUAUGUGUAUAGUGUCCAAUGUGUUCUCUGGUCGAUUAAAUCGAUGACUACAGUGUUGCAUUUUACCUUAGGUAAGUUGUUCGUGAUUUGUGUUUUUUAUUCCUCACUCUAUCUCCGAUCAGUUUUUGUUGAUUUUCUUCGGUUUCGUGUUGUGAAGUUUACGGGUGUGGUUAAAAGGUAAGCUGUUCUUUUCUCUUUUUGUUUAUAACAUGAAUCCUAUAAAUCUAAAUUUCUUCCAUAAUGUUUAUUUAGAUCUUCUGUGAAAAUUGUUAUCUUGUUCAUGUUCUAAAGUUUUUGUACCUUUUUUACUUCUCUUGGAACAUAAAUUGUAGCACCGUACCUUUUUAAAUUUUGAAAGUUAUAUGUUGUUCUUUAGAGGUUUAAAUUUUUAUUUUUAUUUUUUUUCCCUAGAAUCUGGAUUUGUAGUAAUGACUUGUUUGUUUAUUAAUUAUUAAUUCUAAGUACAAGAGUGUAAUCCAUGAGUUUGAUCCAUAUUUUAAUUAAAGAGACACCAAGGCAUGUUCUAACUCAUUGGAUUUUCUAGAACUGCAGAAUUUAAUUAUUUUACUCUUGUAAUCUUUGCUUAAGAAUUUCAUGACAAAUAUAUGUUCAUCUAUUUUCUGUUCUAUAAACAAUAAUUACAUGUAUUAUACUAUGGGAUACACACAUGGUGAAAAAGAGUUCUUCCAUUUAAACAGAUAGAGUAUAUAUUAUAGCCUAUUACAGAUUCUGUCAACACCAAUGGGUGAAAUUUUAAAUGUAAUAUAAAACAAAUGUCUAAUUCUUGCACCGUGCAAGAAAUUGAAUCAACUACUAAAGGAUUUAACCACUAAAGUGUGUGAAUUUGCGGGAGAUUAUAUUUUUAUUUUAUUUUUAUCUAGAGAGAGAAAAUACUCUUAGGAUUAAAGGAAAGCUAGAAACAUAUGUGGUCACUUCCCUUCCAAAAGAGGAAACGUAUGGUCACUUUUAACAAUUGCUGAAGUAGGUAAGCUUUGACAUGGAAGCAGUUGUCUAAUUUUGAUGGUUCGUGGACUCUUCAAAAUCAAGCCUUUUUCAAUUUUGCGUGCUUGGCACAAACCCUUUAAAAAUGUCCAAGAAAUUGCCGCUCCUUUAUGGGAAAUGAACUAGAGAACAUUAUAAUUUGGUGAAGGGAGAUAUCAAGCUGAGCUGGCGUGGUUAUUCGUAAGUUCUCUUUGUUACUUGUAUAUUGAAUUUGGCCUCUCCCUUUAUGUGUGGAUCUAUGCAAGUCCUAAUUGCUGUGCAUUUGCAGUUCAGCUGCCUCGUUUGCUUUAGACGGAGGUGAUUUUGUUGGGAUUCAUGGAAAUGGUGGUCGAGAUGGCAGAGGCAAUGGUGCGGCUGAGGGUGGAGAGUCAAAGUUGCGUUCCUAGGUGGCUAGAGUUGUCUAUUUUCUGAAUUUUUUUUUCUCGAUUCUUCUUCUUUUUUUCAAUUCAAUUUUGUAGAAAAAUUGAUUAAUAACAUAGGCCUCGAAUUUUGUUUUUUAAAAUUUUCUUAUGAGGAAUCAUUUCUUGAAAGCAUCUUUAGUUGUGUUUUCUUUGCCAUAUAUGAGCUUGUGUUUUGAUAUUUUCAUUAAUUUUUCUAAAUAAAUGAACUCUAGACAUUUUAAUUGUUUAUCGAUAUUGCAUCUGAUAAAUAAAAUGGUUGUGAUUCCUGAUUCAUUUAUUUGCCAAUGUGAUAUCCUGAAUUGGGGACUUUUCCCUCAGUUUUUAGAAGUAAUAAGAAAUUGAAAAAUUUAUAUUUUUAGUUGAGCCGGGAUUGUUAGAUUUUGAAUGUUUAGUUGUUCUAUUUCGGAUUAUUCCUACCAAGAGCAAGCACGAUUAGCGCGAUUCUGUUUAAAUGACUUAUGUAAAGGGAUUCUCAUUUUCAAGGAGGGUCUUUUGUCUAUUUCUCUUAUAUUCAUAUUGAAACUAAAGAAGGAAUUUUGUUAACUUCCUCCACUGCAGUGUGUAUUUUAUUAGGAGCAAUGCCCGGAGUUCUAAUCGGGCAAGAGAUCGCAGUACCAUCUCUGGUGCUAUUUUCUCAAUCGAGGUGUUUUGAGUCUUUAAUGCUUUUAUGGCAAUCACAUGAAUCUGGCAUUGGAUAUAUACUGUAUUUGGUGACCAACAUUCUUUAUCUGAAAUAUCAUCCCAUUUUAGAUUAGUUGUAUGGUCUAAUUAUUUAUUGAAAUUCUUAAUUGAAACUUUUUAUACACAUGAUUAAUAUUAUGAAAUUGUGUAGAUUCAUGUGAUUGCAAGCCUUAUAAGUGGUAGACUUGUCCAUGAAUUCAUUGGCCCGGCUAUGCUUAGUGCUACUCAAAUUUAAGUAUUAUUCUAUUUGAUUGACAAAAUAUAGGAAAUAAACAGAAAUUAUUUUCGAGUUUCUAAACAAUUUCCUUAUUCUUGAAUCAGAUGGGAGUUAUGGAAACAACAACAUUUGAAGAGGUCCAGAACAUUUUUUAUUCGAG